rnacentral:rRNA from 1 species
GAUGAACGCUGGCGGCGUGCCUAAUACAUGCAAGUCGAGCGAACGGACGAGAAGCUUGCUUCUCUGAUGUUAGCGGCGGAUGGGUGAGUGACACGUGGAUAACCUACCUAUAAGACUGGGAUAACUUCGGGAAACCGGAGCUAAUACCGGAUAAUAUUUUGAACCGCAUGGUUCAAAAGUGAAAGACGGUCUUGCUGUCACUUAUAGAUGGAUCCGCGCUGCAUUAGCUAGUUGGUAAGGUAACGGCUUACCAAGGCAACGAUGCAUAGCCGACCUGAGAGGGUGAUCGGCCACACUGGAACUGAGACACGGUCCAGACUCCUACGGGAGGCAGCAGUAGGGAAUCUUCCGCAAUGGGCGAAAGCCUGACGGAGCAACGCCGCGUGAGUGAUGAAGGUCUUCGGAUCGUAAAACUCUGUUAUUAGGGAAGAACAUAUGUGUAAGUAACUGUGCACAUCUUGACGGUACCUAAUCAGAAAGCCACGGCUAACUACGUG